rnacentral:rRNA from 1 species
CCUACGGGAGACAGCAGUGAGGAAUAUUGGUCAAUGGGCGCGAGCCUGAACCAGCCAAGCAGCGUGAAGGAUGACUGCCCUACGGGUUGUAAACUUCUUUUAUAAAGGAAUAAAGUGAGGCACGUGUGCCUUUUUGUAUGUACUGUACGAAUAAGGAUCGGCUAACUCCGUGCCAGCAGCCGCGGUAAUACGGAGGAUCCGAGCGUUAUCCGGAUUUAUUGGGUUUAAAGGGAGCGUAGAUGGGUUGUUAAGUCAGUUGUGAAAGUUUGCGGCUCAACCCUAAAAUUGCAAUUGAUACUGGCAGUCUUGAGUGCAGUUGAGGUAGGCGGAAUGCGUGGUGUAGCGGUGAAAUGCUUAGAUAUCACGAAGAACACCGAUUGCGAAGGCAGCUUACUAAACUGCCACUGACGUUGAUGCUCGAAAGUGUGGGUAGCAAACAGGAUUAGAUACCCUAGUAGUC